rnacentral:rRNA from 1 species
UACGGAGGGUGCGAGCGUUGUCCGGAAUUACUGGGUUUAAAGGGUGCGUAGGCGGCUAUGUAAGUCAGGAGUGAAAGUUUGCGGCUCAACCGUAAAAUUGCUUUUGAUACUGCAUGGCUAGAAUUAGGAUGAGGUCAGCGGAAUGUGGCAUGUAGCGGUGAAAUGCAUAGAUAUGCCAUAGAACACCAAUUGCGAAGGCAGCUGGCUAGACCUGGAUUGACGCUGAGGCACGAAAGCGUGGGGAGCGAACAGG